rnacentral:pre_miRNA from 1 species
UCUAGAACUUGAGAUAUGGGCUGAACACUAAACAGUGUCUGAGCUGCAGGACAGAUUCUGAUUUCUCCGUUAUUGCUACCAUUUUAACUCGAAAAUGGCACUUUUAAAUAUUGGACUCUUCAUGAAAGUUUUAAGCAUAUGUCUUAGCUUUCCAUA